AGAAGCUAGAGCCCUCAAUGUACUUCUAGAAAUUUACGUUGAGCGUUCCGUGAUCAGACAGAUGAAGACUUUGUGCAAUCUUUUCUACCGGUAGAGAAUGCAACAGAUGCACCUGUUGAAAAUCGUGUGGGUGUGCAGGUGCCUCUGAACAGAGCCACGGCCGCGCUCAGCUAUGGACACAUCGAAAGUCUUGAUCGCUUGCGACGCACCGAGUUCCGGAUAAUCAGCUCAAAUCUGCUGAAUCCAGCCAAUCCGAGCACUCCCGACAAACUCGACCGAACAGGGCCAGCGUCACUUGCAUCGAUGUAAGAGAUGGAAAGGUAGGCGUCAGGAGCGGCGGAAAAAGAACGCGUCCGCUCGUGGAAACUUUUCUCUGGUAGCUUCUUCUUCAUGUUCUGCAUCUUUCACGUUAUAACGUCAGAAAUCAAUAAAGCCUGCAUACUGAAGUAGA